UGUCGACCCUGCAAGCAGAAGGACCCGCGAACAAGUGAAAGCUAUCAUGGGUGGCGGAGCCUUUGGGCUAGCUGCCCAACGUCCGGGCUUAGGGGCUGUGGGAAACUGCAACCCCUUUGCUCGGGCACACUAAACGAACCCCGGCGCGAAUUGCGCCAAGGAACCAAAAGAAGAUGUGCGCUCCCCUCGUCCCGGAAGCGGUGCUGGGGGGAGAUUGCAUCGUCGUUGAUAUCACAUAUGAAACGACUCUCGGCAACGGAUAUCUCGGCUCUCGCAUCGAUGAAGAACGUAGCGAAAUGCGAUACUUGGUGUGAAUUGCAGAAUCCCGCGAACCAUCGAGUUUUUGAACGCAAGUUGCGCCCGAAGCCGUCAGGCCAAGGGCACGCCUGCCUGGGUGUCACGUAACGUCGCCAAGAAUUCCCUCACCUCCCGCGGGAAGUGAUGCGGAACGGCGGAUACUGGCCUCCCGUGCGCUCCCGCUCGCGGUUGGCCCAAAACGAACUCCGUUGGCAAUGGCAGCCACGGCACGCGGUGGUCGAAAGCACAGCUCCUCGAAAACCGUCGUGGCGUGCCUCGUUGAUGCGGAGCCUACGACCCCGACGCGUGCGUCCUCGCAAAGCGACCCCAGGUCAGGCGG
rnacentral:rRNA from 1 species